rnacentral:siRNA from 1 species
AGGAAAAGGUUGGAACGACAUUGU